rnacentral:rRNA from 1 species
UGGGGAAUAUUGCACAAUGGGCGAAAGCCUGAUGCAGCAACGCCGCGUGAGUGAUGAAGGUCUUCGGAUUGUAAAGCUCUGUCUUUUGGGACGAUAAUGACGGUACCAAAGGAGGAAGCCACGGCUAACUACGUGCCAGCAGCCGCGGUAAUACGUAGGUGGCGAGCGUUGUCCGGAUUUACUGGGCGUAAAGGGUGCGUAGGCGGAUGUUUAAGUGAGAUGUGAAAUACCCGGGCUUAACUUGGGUGCUGCAUUUCAAACUGGAUAUCUAGAGUGCAGGAGAGGAGAAUGGAAUUCCUAGUGUAGCGGUGAAAUGCGUAGAGAUUAGGAAGAACACCAGUGGCGAAGGCGAUUCUCUGGACUGUAACUGACGCUGAGGCACGAAAGCGUGGGUAGCAAACAGGAUUAGAUACCCUGGUAGUCCACGCCGUAAAACGAUGAGUACUAGGUGUAGGAGGUAUCGACCCCUUCUGUGCCGCAGUAAACACAUUAAGUACUCC